rnacentral:rRNA from 1 species
AACGAACGCUGGCGGCGUGGAUAAGACAUGCAAGUCGAACGGGAACUUCAGCUGUAGCAAUACAGUUGAGUUUAGUGGCGAACGGUGCGUAACACGUGGGCAAUCUGGCCGACGAAGUGGGGGAUAGGCUCGCCGAAAGGCGAAUUAAUACCGCAUAUGAUCAGGAAAGACAUCUUUCCGACAUCAAAGCCGGGGCAACCUGGCGCUUCUUGAUGAGCCCGCGGCCUAUCAGCUAGUUGGUGAGGUAACGGCUCACCAA